rnacentral:rRNA from 1 species
UAAUACGUAGGUGGCGAGCGUUGUCCGGAUUUACUGGGCGUAAAGAGGGCGUAGGCGGUUCUUCAAGUCAGAUGUAAAAUCUCCCGGCUUAACUGGGAGGGGUCAUUUGAUACUGUUGGGCUAGAGGGCAGCAGGGGGAGGUGGAAUUCCCGGUGUAGUGGUGAAAUGCGUAGAUAUCGGGAGGAACACCAGUGGCGAAGGCGGCCUCCUGGGCUGUUGCUGACGCUGAGGCCCAAAAGCGUGGGGAGCAAACAGGAUUAGAUACCCUGGUAGUCCACGCCGUAAACUAUGGACACUAGGUAUGGGGAGUAUCGACCCUCUCUGUGCCGAAGCUAACGCUUUAAGUGUCCCGCCUGGGGACUACGGCCGCAAGGCUA